UACAGGGGUGCAAAGCGUUGCUCGGAAUUCAUUGGGCGUAAAGCGCACGUAGGCGGUUCGUUAUGUCGGAUGUGAAAGCCCUUCGGCUUAAACCCGGAGGAAGUGCUAGUCCGAAACUGGCGAGCUAGAGUACGGAAGAGGAGUGCGGGAAUUCCCGGUGUAGAGGUGAAAUUCGUAGAUAUCGGGAGGAACGACCGGGUGGCGCAAGGCGGCGGAUCAUGGGGUCCGACUACGUGACGCUGAGGUGCGAA
rnacentral:rRNA from 1 species